rnacentral:tRNA from 1 species
CUCUACUUAGUACAAAUAUAAAUAUACCUUACUUCCAAUAAGGAGAUCCUAAAGGAGUAGAGA